UCAAAGUAAAAUAGAGGAGAGUGUUAACAUUUUAUAUUUUAUAUCCCUAAGCUAGAGCACCACACUCACUCAUUGUACGCUCGCACCACCACUCUUCCAUGGAGAACCAAGCAAAGCGGAGCAAACAAUCUUCAAGUUCCGGGAGGAGAAGCUUGAAGAGAAAGCUCGAAGGAGAUUUUGAAGACGAUCGUAAAGUUUCUUCUCAUGAUGAUGAUGCUCAUCAAGAUCUCGCUUCUGAGGUUCGAACGCAGGUGGAGAUUCUCGAUUCUACUUUCUCUUCGACGGAAGCAGAUCGUGCCUCUGCCAAGACUGCUAUUCAUGUUCUCUGCGAGUUAGCGAAGAACGAGGAAAUUGUGAAUGUGGUUGUAGACUGUGGUGCUGUCCCAGCUUUGGUGAAGCAUCUUCAAGUGCCAUCCCUUGGGAAUCAAGGAGAUGGUGGGCAGAUGCCGUAUGAGCAUGAGGUCGAGAAAGGAAGUGCUUUUACGCUUGGCCUUCUAGCCAUAAAACCGGAGCACCAGCAACUUAUUGUUGAUGCUGGAGCUCUACCUCAUCUUGUGGAUCUGCUGAAAAGACAUAAAACUCUGCAAAAUUCUCGUGCUGUCAAUGGUGUUAUCCGGAGAGCAGCUGAUGCAAUCACUAAUCUUGCCCAUGAAAAUAGUAGCAUCAAAACUCGUGUUAGGAUUGUGGGUGGUAUUCCUCCACUUGUUGAAUUGCUUGAGUUCGUUGAUGCAAAGGUGCAAAGAGCAGCUGCAGGAGCGUUGCGAACUUUGGCUUUUAAAAAUGACGAGAACAAAAAUCAGAUUGUUGAAUGCAAUGCACUCCCUACUCUUAUUCUAAUGCUGCGAUCCGAAGAUACUGCAAUACACUAUGAAGCGGUUGGAGUCAUUGGAAAUUUGGUGCACUCAUCACCAAAUAUCAAAAAGGACGUUCUUCUUGCUGGAGCUUUACAACCCGUUAUUGGGUUACUUAGUUCCUCCUGUCCGGAAAGCCAAAGGGAAGCAGCUUUAUUACUUGGACAAUUUGCAGCAACCGACUCCGACUGCAAGAUUCACAUUGUGCAAAGAGGUGCCGUACCGCCACUGAUUGAGAUGCUUCAAUCUCUGGAUGCUCAACUUAGGGAAAUGUCAGCCUUUGCCCUUGGAAGGUUGGCACAGGACACUCACAAUCAGGCUGGUAUUGCUCAUUGUGGUGGAAUAGUCCCAUUAUUGAAGCUUCUAGAAUCAAAAAAUGGAUCGUUGCAACAUAAUGCUGCAUUUGCUCUUUAUGGGCUUGCUGAUAACGAGGAUAAUGUUACAGAUCUUGUAAAGGUUGGAGGUGUUCAAAAGCUUCAGGAUGGAGAAUUUAUUGUCCAACCAACUAGAGAUUGUGUUGCGAAGACAUUGAAAAGAUUGGAAGAGAAGAUUCAUGGACGGGUAUUAGGCCAUUUAUUGUAUUUGAUGCAUGUUGGGGAAAAGGUUAUUCAAAGACGAGUUGCUCUUGUGCUUGCCCAUCUUUGUUCACCAGAUGACCAAAAGAUGAUAUUUAUUGAUAAUGGUGGAUUGGAAUUGCUUUUAGAGCUUCUAGAAUCAACAAACUUGAAGCACCAAAGAGAUGGUUCUGUAGCUUUAUGCAAGUUGGCUAACAAAGCCAGCUCACUUUCACCCGUUGAUGCAGCCCCUCCAUCUCCUACACCUCAGGUCUAUCUGGGUGAGCUGUAUGUAAAUAAUUCUACGCUAUCUGAUGUGACAUUUUUAGUCGAAGGCAAACGGUUUUAUGCCCACAGAAUUUGUUUACUUGCUUCUUCUGAUGCAUUUCGCGCAAUGUUUGAUGGUGGCUACAGGGAGAGAGAUGCCAAAGAUAUAGAGAUUCCCAACAUUCCAUGGGAUGUUUUUGAGUUGAUGAUGAGGUACAUAUACACGGGAUCUGUUGAUGUUAAUAUGGGUGUUGCAAAGGAUCUUCUAAGGGUUGCUGAUCAAUAUCUUCUUGAGGGCCUUAAGCGUCUGUGCGAGUAUGCAAUUGCCCAGUGGAAAAUGUCUCUCUGAUGUUUGAGUUAUCAGAGGCUUUCAAUGCAUUGUCAUUAAGAAAUGCUUGCAUUGUAUUCACAUUGGAGAAGUUCGACAAAUUAAGUGUCAUGCCAUGGUAUUCGCAAUUGAUUCAACUUAUAUUACCUGAGACACGUGCGUACUUUGCUAGGGUGCUGAGCAGGCCAAUUCAAGCUGACCUCUGAUUUAGGUUCAUUUUUAUUCUUUGAUUAGAUGUAGUAUAUGAUGUAAAUUGUACAGGAAGUGGGUUUUAUUCCACUCGUCUCUAAUUGCAAGAGUUAUGUGUCAUUUCUCAUCGCUUGCAAUUCCAUAUUUGUUGUGACGUUUAAUGUAGCGUAUGAAGUUCAGUUGCAACGCCUGCCAUGCUUCUAAAACUCUUUCACCAAAAACUUACAAAUAAAUUACCGGUUUUAUGAGUUGUAUAGA